UACGUAGGGGGCAAGCGUUGUCCGGAAUUACUGGGCGUAAAGGGCUCGUAGGUGGCCAACUAAGUCAGACGUGAAAUCCCUCGGCUUAACCGGGGAACUGCGUCUGAUACUGGAUGGCUUGAGUUUGGGAGAGGGACGCGGAAUUCCAGGUGUAGCGGUGAAAUGCGUAGAUAUCUGGAGGAACACCGGUGGCGAAGGCGGCGUCCUGGACCAACACUGACACUGAGGAGCGAAAGCCAGGGGAGCAAACGGG
rnacentral:rRNA from 1 species